UACGUAGGGGGCAAGCGUUGUCCGGAUUUAUUGGGCGUAAAGAGCGUGUAGGCGGCCGUACAGGUCAGCUGUGAAAACUCGAGGCUCAACCUCGAGACGUCGGUUGAAACCGUACGGCUAGAGUCCGGAAGAGGAGAGUGGAAUUCCCGGUGUAGCGGUGAAAUGCGCAGAUAUCGGGAAGAACACCCGUGGCGAAGGCAGCCCCCUGGGUUAACACUGACGCUCAGGCACGAAAGCGUGGGGAGCAAACAGG
rnacentral:rRNA from 1 species